rnacentral:rRNA from 1 species
UAGGGGCGACCGAACAGGGAUGAGCCCAGCGCAGAACCUCCCGGGCCACCCGGCCUGCGGCGGAAUGUUGCGUUAAGGGAAAGGUCAUAUUCAUACCCAUCAGUCACGCGAGCGCUAAGUCAGUCACGAAUUGGCUAUCCCGACUAACGGAGGGAAUGACUCCACGGAGGGUGUAAGACCCGUGUGGGCGCGUGUUAAAGCUGAUUGGGGUUGGCCUCUGUUCCCUGAGAGUCGCGUUGCUCUGGCAUGCAGCGCUAAGCAGGUCGUAAACUCGAUCUAAGGCUAAAUAUUUCCACAGGCCCGAUAGCGAACAAGUACCGUGAGGGAAAGUUGAAAAGCACUCUGAAGAGAGAGUCAAAAGACCGUGAAACCGUUCAGAGUAUAAGCCCAUGGAGCUCGGAAGGNAUACCGCCGUCAAAGCUUUUGACGGCAUGCAGGAAGGUCUGUCAGGCAGUGGCAUUGAGUUGAUAUCACGCUGACGUGCGGGGAGGGUGGGACCUGGCGCGGCGACGGGCUUCGGCCUGUCGUUUUCGUGUUCGGCGACCCUCUUUUAGGCACGGACAUUCAAGGUUGCAUGCCGUAGGCGGAACCGCCCACCACGGCUCGUUGCGUGGUCACCCACAGGCUCAACUGCCGAUCGCGUGUUCACCUCGCAGUGUAGAGGCGUCGUCGUNGNUCUCCCAGGGAUGGAGUGAGACUGACGCGGAGUUGCGAGGCUCCUCAAAUGAACCGGGCGGCGACCGAGAUAAACCUGGUCUGAUCCACAUGCGACGAGCUGCUUUCUGNCCAGACGAUUGCACCCGAGGGCUUGGUUUCUCCUUUGCCUGAGCCUUGUCCCUCACACCAGGCGGUCUGUGUCCUCUGUCUUUAGCUGGUGACAGCUAUGGUCAUGGCCUCUGCCGGGUGCAGGUCUGAGUGGUGUUAGGUCCGACACCAUCGGUCACGUCUCGAAACACGGGCCAAGGAGUAUAGCAUGUGUGCAAGUCCAAGGGUCUCACAAAACCCACGGGCGAAGUGAAAGCAAGGUUGUGGCGAGUGAGCCUCUCCCUCGUGGGAGGCAAAACCUCGUCAGCCGUAGCGAGCAAUCGCUUGGCUUUAAAGCAAGAGCCGAUACUACUGAUACGGAUAAGUCCUGAGGUAGUCGCAAGCUCCGGGCUCGCGUAUAACACUGGUCGCUUGCGGCUGUGUUGCGAGCACCGUGAAGCAUGCAUGCUAUGACCCGAAAGAUAGUGAACUAUGCCUGGCGAGGGCGAAGCCCCAGGAAACUGGGGUGGAGGCCCGUAGCCGUUGUGACGUGCAAAUCCAUGGUAUCAGUUGGGCAUAGGGGCGAAAGAC